rnacentral:rRNA from 1 species
GCAAGCAACAAUCUCUAUCGCCAUGCCAACCUGAUCUCGUCUGAUCUCGGAAGCUAGUCAGGGUUGGGGCUGGUUAGUACUCGGAUUGGAAACAGCCUGUGAAUACCGGGUGCAGCAUACU